UUUUUCUUUUUUUUUGUGUGUUUCUUUUUCUCUCCUCCUUUUUUCUUCUUGUCAUCGCAUCGAUCUAUCGGUUCGCUAUUUCCCUUUCAAUAUAUCAAAUUCGUUAUCGGUAAGCCCCUUAAAUUCUCUAUCAUCAAUCCUUCUGCCGUUUAAUUUCCCCCUUUUGCUCUUUCAAUUUUGACCGUCCUUAAUUUCUAGGGUUUCGUUUCUAAUCCCUUCUGUACCCUCAUAUUUUCGUUUCUAGCCAUCGUAUCUCUCGUUUACUUUGUUAUUCGUUAUCGAAUUGUCGUCGGAUCUUACUUCAUUCGUGUCUAGGGUUUGUGCUUGUGUUCUUCAAAUCUGAGAUUUGGGGAUUCGUUUUCGUAUUGGGUUUAGGGUUCUAUAAAAUACACAAAAAAAUCUUCUGCUGGUAUUGGAGGGGAUUAGGUUUUUUUUCUUAGUUGGAUUUAUAGUUUGUAUAUGGCGGCUGGUAGGCAUGGCGGCUAUCGUGACAACGAGUUUAGGGACCGUGAGUCGAAUUUGGAUGUUUCAAGGCGCGGUUUCGCGAAUUCGAAGGAAGAUUACGACCGGGUUAGGAAUGGAGGCCGUGACGUUGUGAGGGGUGGGAGCAGGGAUGCAAGAGAUAGGAUUAGGGUUAGGCAGAAGGAUAUUAGGGAGAGAGAAGCUUCCAAUGGCGGUCACCGGUCAUCUUCUAGUAGGAGUGAUUCUGGCAGCAGCGGAGGUGGUGGUAGUGAUGGUGGCGGGCUUGGGCCCCGACGGUGUGGCUUUUCUGCCAAGACCAUGGAUAAGGAGCCUGGUGAACUUUCCAGUGAGAGUGGGUCUGAUGGUGCUAUUGAACCAGAGUCAAUGAUGAAAGACAGCGAGGUUGCGAAUGUUGAACAGAAUAGGACUCGAUCCCCGCCCCCACCAGAGAAGAAAAGGAAGUUUUCACCGAUUGUGUGGGAUCAGGAUGACAAGGAAGUGAGCGAGCCAUCUAAAACCAAAUCUAAGGUUUCCACUGCUCCAGUGACUGCUCUUCCACCUCCGCCUCCACUGCCAAAAUCAUUUGUGCGGUCACCUAAUGUUCCAUAUGGUGGAGUUGAGAUACAUCCUGUCAAAAAGAGUGAAACUAAGGAUGUUGAAUUACCGGAAGCUACUAGGGCCACUAUGCCUUCUCCAGGAUCGCAUUCCAUUUCUCCGAAACAGGCUUGGCAUAAUGAUCGUGAAGCUGAGCAACAAGAAGGUGAGGAUUAUGUUCCUAGUCAUAAUAUAUCAUCUUCCAGAUGGGCAGCUGUAGAUAACUCUCCCGGUGAUGAGGGUGAAAUCAUCGAUGAUGAAGAAUUGCCUAGGAGGAAGAGGAGGCUGUCUCCUGAGUUAUUGGAUACAAAACUACGGAACAAACUAUUAAGCCCAGUGGAAUCUAAAAAAGAAGGAUUUGAUGGUGGCAGAGCUAAAUCAUCUGAAUCAGAUGAACGAGGUAGCCAUGGGAGAACGUCCAGUGGGGAUGAUCAUCCUGGAACUGCGUCUGAGAAGGAUGACUACAUGGAGAUUGAUGCUCAAGGUGGAAAAAGUGAUACUAGUAUUAAUCAUUCGGAGACGGAUUCUGAGGACGAGGAUGAUAGGAGGGAGACUCCGGAACCUCCAGCGACACCACAAAGAAUGGUCAACAUGCUUCAGGGUUGUAGAAGUGUUGAUGAGUUUGAGAGACUUAACAAGAUAGAUGAAGGAACUUACGGUGUUGUAUAUAGGGCCAGAGAUAAGAAGACUGGAGAAAUUGUAGCAUUGAAGAAAGUCAAGAUGGAGAAGGAAAGAGAAGGAUUUCCACUGACUUCACUUAGGGAAAUAAACAUUCUUCUUUCUUUCCACCACCCAUCCAUAGUUGAUGUUAAGGAAGUAGUGGUAGGGAGUAGCCUUGAUAGUAUUUUCAUGGUUAUGGAAUACAUGGAGCAUGAUCUUAAAGGUCUGAUGGAAGCAAUGAAGCAACCAUUUAGCCAGAGUGAAGUAAAGUGCUUAAUGAUCCAGCUUUUAGAAGGUGUUAAGUAUCUUCACGAUAAUUGGGUGCUUCAUAGGGAUUUAAAAACUUCUAACCUCCUUUUGAAUAAUAGAGGUGAACUAAAAAUAUGUGAUUUUGGUUUGGCUCGACAGUAUGGGAGUCCAUUGAAACCAUACACACAUCUCGUGGUUACUCUUUGGUACAGGGCACCUGAACUUCUUCUAGGGUCAAAACAAUAUUCAACAGCCAUUGACAUGUGGUCUCUAGGUUGUAUCAUGGCGGAACUUUUGUCCAAAGAACCACUAUUCAAUGGGAAAACAGAAUUUGAUCAGCUUGAUAAGAUUUUUAAGAUUCUUGGCACACCAAACGAAACAAUUUGGCCUGGGUUCUCAAAAUUACCUGGAGUCAAGGUCAAUUUUGUUAAGCACCAGUAUAACCUCCUGCGCAAAAAGUUUCCUGCCACUUCGUUCACUGGUUCCCCAGUCCUUUCUGAUGCUGGAUUUGAUUUGUUGAACAAGCUUCUUACUUAUGACCCUGAAAAGCGGAUCACGGCUGAAGCUGCUCUCAAUCAUGAAUGGUUCCAUGAAGUUCCUCUUCCCAAGAGCAAAGAAUUUAUGCCAACCUUUCCUGCUCAACAUGCUCAAGACAGGCGGAUGCGGAGAGUAUUAAAGAGUCCGGAUCCUUUAGAGGAGCAGCGCCGUAAGGAGUUGCAGCAGGGUGAAUCAGGCACAGGUGGAAUUUUUGGCUAGUAAUCGUGAACUCUAAACUUGUCACAACAGUCAUUCUAACUCACACCACUGAAAUGUUUGCAUGUAUGAGGUGAGAGUAUGAACUGAAAGGAAGUUGCAACCAUUGUUUGUUAGACGAUCACUUGUGCUGUUUUUUAGCAGGGAUUUGUUGGGUUGUGAAGAGAUUUAUUCAUUUUGCCAGAUUAAAUUCAGGUUAACCUUCAUGCUUGGUCAUUAUAUACAAAUGCAUCUGGGAUGCUGCUUUCAGCUUAAGGCGGUUGGUGUGAAGUGGAUGAUGGCUUUCUGUGCAUUUCAUUGAAGAAAUUGACAGUGACUUAGUGCCUUAAAAGGUAAUUCAUUCCUUUGAUAUCUUGGAUAUUAAGGAAUGAGGAUAAUGUUGUGAGAGAUAAUGUCUAGAUUCUAGAGACAAAUGUAGCAUGAUAGCUUAGACUGAUGCUUAAUGCCUGUUAAUUAGUUUUGUAUUUUGAUUAUCAUUUCUUUUUUCUUUUUUCUUUUUAAAGAAAACUUGUAGGGAUGUAGGCAGGGUCAUUAGUUGUGUAAAUUGUUUUCAUAAUACUAGUUCAUUCACAAAUUCUUGUUCUUGUAUAGGAAGUCUUUAAUUGAGAUUUAUUUUUGGAAGCCAUGAUUUGUCAUGGAUUUUUUUAAUAAUAAUUUGUAGACAUGAUCAAUUUCUUGUUCUCAGAGCUCUAGUACUAGCUCUUCCAAGGAAUUACGCUUAUUUUUUCUUUCUCCCAAAAGAAAUAUUUCUGAAGUCAUGAGUACUGCUGGAAGGGUAUUAUGUUGAACUGAAAAUCUGAAAUGAAUUUCCAAGAAUGGUGGAACUUGCUUGUAAAUUAAUGUAGGCCGACGGUAUAACAUUGUUGACUUAGUGUUUUUUUCAUUUUAUGGGCUAUUUGCCGUUGGUUUUUUAUUUGGGCUCUAGAUUGUGAACAGACACACACACACAAAGUGCUGGAUGUCAAAUUCCUCUCUCGCGCUUAAUGUAAUAACUAUUAAUAUUUGAUAUCCGUUGCACCAACAUGUGUAAGCUUUUUUGUGCACUUCAUGAUAUGAAAAAUACGAUUACUAUCUGAUGAUAUUGCCACUUUUUUUUUCCGAAUAAUUUUAUAAUGCCGGGUUUAUUGUGGUCAAAUUGUCAAAAUGAACUAUUUCUAGCUUCCUUGAAUUUGUUGCUUCAUUUAUUUUUAUUUUUCAUUUCCAAUCCAUUUGGUAGUGUAUUUUUGAGUUUUUCUUUCCAAAUUUUAUUUUUAUCGCAGUGUUCUACUAACAUUUUUCUUCUCCAUGACAAGAAAAAAUGUGCUAUCCACUUUUAGCUUUGUUACCAUCAAUAGACUGGUGUCUUUGUAAAACACUAGCCUAAAACCUAUCUCAAAAGCAAAAGAGAAGGAAUUAUAU